UUCUUUAAGCCCUCAUUUAAAGUAAGACCUGCUCAAUGAUCCUUUCUAUAGCCGCAGUUCACUGUGCUAAGGUAGCAUAAUAACUUGCUUCUUAAUUAGAAGAUAGAAUGAAUGGUUAAACACCCAAAAACGUUACUAUUUAAAACAUUAACCUGGGACCAAGAUAAAAACCUCUUCAAAAAAAAGUGGGACGACAAGACCCUGAUAAACUCAAUAUUUAGUUGGGGAAACUCCUUAAAAAAACUUUAUUAUAGUCUUUAAUUUACUUUAAAUAAAAUACAGUUACUACAGGGAUAACAGCGCAAUUUCCUUUAAGAGCCCAAAUCAAAAAGGAAGAUUACGACCUCGAUGUUGAAUUAAUAAACCACAUAAAGAGUAUAAACUUAUAAAUGGUAGUCUGUUCGACUAUUAAAAAAUU
rnacentral:rRNA from 1 species